UUUAUUUACCAGUCAGCAAUGCUACUGCUUUGGGUACUUACAGGACCCGUCUUGAAACACGGCCCAAGGAGUCUAACAUGUGCGCAAGUCAUUGGGAUUUUUUUUAAAACAAACCUAAAGGCGUAAUGAAAGUAAAGAUUGUCUUUAUGACAAUUGAGGGAAGAUGGGUUAUAUUACGAUAUAAUCCCGCACUCCCCAGGAUGUCUUAUUCUCAUGAGAA
rnacentral:rRNA from 1 species